rnacentral:pre_miRNA from 1 species
GGUGAGCCAGGAAGAGGAAGAGAGACUCUAAGAGCAGUAGGAAUGGGAACAUGAAGGAAAGCCAAAUUAAGCUCUAACCUCUGGUAUUGGAGAUUUGGUCUGAUGAUUUUCCUGAUGCCUCCCAUUCCUAUAGUUCUUAGGUGCUCGUUCCUCUUACUUUCAGCUAACACC